UGAUGUUGUUCGGUGAUGUUCGGUCCAAUGCCUACAACGGACUAUGGACCAAACUCAGAGAGGAGAGAGUACGAGCGAAUCCACAAACUCUAAUAAACCGACGUCCCGACGACAACCAGCAGCAGCAGCAGCAAUAGACUUGACUUCCUUUCCAAUUUAAGCGACGACCUUAGCAGGCGGAAAAAUAGCUUUUUUGUACUAAUCAAAAGUGUGUUAACGAAAGUUGGUUGACGACGUCUGAGAAGUCCUGCUUCGGAAGCUCAAAAUAGUCGAGGGAAAUUUCCUACUUCCGACCAAAAAAAGGUAUAUACACCUCGAUCAAAUUCGGAAACAAUGAAAGACUAGCUGUAUGUAUUUUAAAUGUUGGCAUCCUAUAAAUAAUUUUUAAUGAGAUGAUUCCUUUAAAAUGUGAGCCUCAAAAAUAGUUUUAUGGCUAACUAAAACUUCAUCCUCGUAAUGUACAUUUCAAUUAGCGCGCAUAAUAAGGGUCUAUGAAUUGCCACUUAAAUUCGCUUCUCCUUGGGUGCCAUAAUGGGGGUAAUACAUACAUACAUAGUAGGUUCAUAUGAUCCUCGGGUGUGCAAAAAAUCAGUGAACGGUUAGAAGCACUAGAGAAAAGCCGGGGAAAAACUAGGCCAAACCGAAGAGCACUUUUUCUUUCACCCAUAUCACCCAUUCAGGGGGCGCAGACUGGAACAAUAAAACUAACACCGGGUGCAAAAAAUCGACAUUCAACGCGACGGCCUUUCCUUGCAAGAUUGAAAGCGAAAACCGUUCCUGGGAAAGAACGUGUACGAACGUCUAUCCCUCCCAAAGCUGCGCCCCAGCUUUCCCCGAUUUUCCACUUUUUUCGUGAAAAAUAAACAUCACCGUUCGAGUUGAGGAUGAGGUCAGAGUGACAUCCAUUGAACACUACUUGCAAAAGGCCUCAGAACAAACCUACGGAAGAACCAGGUCGAUUAUGAAUGGAAAUAGGAUACCUACCCAGACCAACUUUCGCCGACCCUUUUUUUCUUUUGCUUCUUUGGGGUUUGGGGUGGCAAUUUUCGCCUGUACACGUGAACAUAAACCUUGCGAAAGUGCCAUAUUUCACCGGUUUUCGACAUCGCACACAUGCUGCUGGGGAGCUUAAUAAGCUCUUUCUGGCGUUGUGGAUACCUACCUUUGGCCGGGUUUCGUGAAAUGAGUGGGCGAAUGAUACUCCCACACUCUCUCAACUGUCGUGUCACAUUGUAUGAAAAUUAAGCGCUUUGAUAAAUAAGCUUCCGAAAAGGUCGCAUAUGGUGUGACUGGAAGAAAAAAAAGAUGAAGCUGAACUUUUGAAAACGAAGUAAGCUUUCCGUUAAGCAUGUCUGGGAUUAACACAAAAUCAUCUGUAAUUAAGCACAUACGAUCAUGGUUUUAAUUUUUUGAAAAAUAAAAAAAAUAUUCAGGCCCUUAGACUUGGGCUGCUGCUGAAUGAAGACGACGCGUUAUUUUCUGACAAAAAUAACAAAAUGACAAAAAUAACCAACAUGACAGAGUUGACAAAAACGGCAACAAUGACAAACUGACAAACUGAUUUUUUUAAAAAAAAAUCACAAAAUGGAAAAAUGAAAAAAAUACAAAUCGGCAAAAAUGACAGAAAAAGCAAAAGUUACAUAAAUAACAUCAAUAACAAAAAUAACAAAAUUGACAAAAAUGACAAAACGGCAAAAUGACACAAUUGACAAAAAGGCAAAAAUGAUAGAAAUAACAAAAAAGCUAAAAUUGACCAAAAUGACGAAAUUGAAAAAAAUGACAAAAACGGCAAAAAUGAUAGAAAUAACAAAAGUUUUAAAAUUCACAAAAAUGACGAAAAUGACAAAAAUGACAAAAAAAUAAAAAAUGACAAAAAUGAUAUAAAUGAAAAAAAUUAUAGAAAUAACAAAAAUGACAAAAUUUACAAAAAUAGCAAAGAUGACAAAAAUAAAAAAAACUGAUGGCAAUGACAAAAAGAAAAAAAAUGACAAAAACGACAAAAAUGUCAAAAAUGAAAAAAAUGAAAAAAAAUGACCAAAAAUGACCAAAAUGACAAAAAUUACAAAAAUUGCAAAAAUGACAAAAAUCACAAAAAUAAAAAAAUAAAAAAAAUGAUACAAAUGGCAAAAAUGACAUAAAUGACAUUAAUAACAAAUAUGACGAAAAAUGACAAGUGUGACGAAAAUGUCAAAAAUUAUCAAAAUGAUGAAAAUGAUGAAAAUGAUGAAGAUUACAAGAAUGACAAAAAUAAUAAAAAAGUUAAAAAUGACAAAACUGAUAAAAAAUGACGAAAUGGCAAACGACAAAAAUUUGAAAAAUAUACAGAAAUGACAAAAGGCUAAAAUCGAAUAAAUGUUGAAAAUGAUAAUAAUGACAAAAAUGACAAAAAUUAUAAAAAUGACAAAAAUGACAGAAUUGACAAAAAGCAAAAAAAUGACAAAAAUUAUAAAAAUGACAAAUGGUACAAAAAUGAUGAAAAUGACUUUAAUUAAUUAAAUUACUAAAAUAACAAAAAUGACAAAAAUGAACAAAACAAGACUCUAAACGAAAAAAGUGAUAAAAAGAUAACAAAUGAUAUAAAUGAAAAAAUUGAUACUUCUGACAAAAUAACAAGAUAGACGAAAAAAACAAAAAUGAUAAACAAGUCAAAAACGAAAAAUGACAAAACUGAUAAAAAUGACCCAAAUUGCAAAAUUUACAAAAAAAUAUUGACAGAAAUUACAAAAAUAACAAAAAUGACAGAAAUUCGAAAAAAUCACAAAUAAUACUGAAAUGACGAAAAUGACAGAAAUGGCAAAAAUGAAAAAAAUUACAAAAAUACAAAAAUGACAAAAUUACAAAAAUAGCAGAAUUGACGAUAAUGACAAAAAAGAACAAAAUUAUAAAAUUGAUAAUAUUACAAAAAUCUAUAUAUAUAAAAAUUAAUUUCUGUCUGUCUGUCUGUCUGUUCCCUAUAGACUCGGAAACUACUGAACCGAUUUGCGUGAAACUUGGCAGGUGGGGGUAUUGGAGGCCGGGGAAGGUUCCUAUUAUGGUUUGAGACCCCUCCCUCUCUCAUGAAGGGGGGGAGGGGUCUCCCAAACAAAAGACAAUUUUUUGCAUAACUAGAAAACUGAUCAAGCCAAUGGUAUCCAAUUUGGCAUAGGGUGGUAUUUGAGAAAGAAGAAUAUUUCUAUGAAUAUUAGGUACCCCUCCCUCCUCUCAGUGGGCUGAUAGGAAGGGGGGAGGGGGGCUACCUUACAAUUUUUCAUAUAUCUGAAAAACUAAUCAAGAUAUUGGGACCAAAUUUGGCAUGGGAAGGUAUUUGUAUACGAAAAAUAUUUCAAUGAUUAUUUGAGACCCCUCCCUCUUUCCAGUAGAAAGGGGGAGGGGCCCUCUUUCAUAUUUUAAUACAUAACUCAAAAACUAAUAAAGCAAAUGGAACCAAAUUUGGCAUGGUAGGGUAUUUGGAUACGACAAAUAUUACUAUGAUUAUCUGGGACCCCUCCCUCUUUCCAGUAGGAAGAUAUAAAGGGGGGAGGGGGCAUCUUUUAUAAUUUUUACAUAACUCAAUAACUAAUUAAACAAAUGGAACGAAAUUUGGCAUGGGCGGGUAUUUGGGAACGUGACAUAUUCUUAUGAUUAUUUAAGCCCACUUCCUUUUUCCAGCGGGAGAAAGGAAAGAGGGAGGGAAGUUUCAUACAGUUAUUACUGCAUUUCUCAAGAACUACAACAGCAAAUGGAGCCAAAUUUGGCAUGGAACGAUAUUUGGGUACGAGAAAUUCUUCUAUGAAUAUUUGGUAUCCCUCACUCCUUCAAAGAGGUGGAUGAAAAGGGGGAGUAGAGGUCUCCCUUACAAUUUUCAGUAUAACUAGAGAGUUGAUCGAUCAAAUUGAACCAAAUUUGGCAUGUGAGGAUAUUUGGAUACGAGAAAUGUUUCUAUUAUAAAUUGAGGCCCCAUCUUUUUUAGCGGAAAGAUAUAAAGGAGGAAAGAGGGGCUUCCAUACAAUGUUUUUGCAUAACUCGAGAAUUAAUCGAGCAAAUGAAACCAAAUUUGGCAUCAAAAAGCAUUUGAGUACGAAAAAUACACUUUUUCUAUGUGAAACAAUUCCUUUCUUGCUAUAGGAUGAUAGAAUUAGGAAUAUAGGAGGGGAAGAGGAGGCUUACAUUUAACUUUUUUUUUACAAAAUCCGAGAAAUGGACAAAACUUAACAUGAAAAUCAUUUUGGUAUGAUUCUAUGAUUAUAUGACACACUUUCAGUGAGUAGGUACAAAGGAGGAGGGAGGUGAGCCCAAUGCAAUUUUAUUAGCAUAAGUUCUCAACGAAUAAGUUCUAACGAAGCCAACAAAUGGACACAAAUAUGACAUGGAAAAGUACUUGGUUACGAGAUAUGUUUCUACGAUUGUUUUAGACCCUUACGCUUUACAUUGUAGAGAGGGGAAGAAAGGAGAAGGCUCCAUAUACAUUUCGUUAUAAAGCUUAAAAACUUAUCAACCAAUCAAUGGAACUAUAUUUGAUAUAAGAGGAUUUUCGGGAACGUAAUGGGUAUGAUUAUUAAAGAUCACGACCUCCAUUCAGCAGGAGGUGAAAGAAAGAACAGGGGAGGGGGCUCUCUUAUCAGUUUUUAACAUAAAUCUAGAACAUAUCAAGCAAAAACAACCAUAUUUUAAAAGUUAGAUUGUUGCGUACGAUUAAUUUGGGCCCUCCCAGCUCAGGGUGAAGUUUAAAGAAACAGAUUAAAAUUAUCAGAUCUUUAACACAAAUUUAUAGCUCAAGAUUCAAAAAAUUAGUUUCAGUCAUCUUUGUACUGCAAUUCAAAACUCCAGCUGCAGCUCUCAUUUUAUAGCAGUUGCUUUAGAAUUAUAUUAUAAUUUGAUUUAAAAUAAUGCCAACAAAACAAUAAAAAUUUGAAUAAUUUCUGAAAAUACUAUUUGUUUUUGAAAGGUGUAGCAAAGCACACCGGGUCAGCUAGUGACAAAUAUUUCAAAAAUAAGAAAAACAAGACCAAACACGACAAAAAUGAUAAGAGUGACAAAAAUCGACAAAAGUGCAAAAAAAAAUCAAAAAUAACAAUAUGAAAAAAUGACAAAAUUUAAAAAAAAUGACAAAACAGACAAAAAUGCCAAAAUAGACAAAAAUGACACAAAUGACAAAUUUUAAAAAAACACGAAAAUGACGAAAUCACAAAAUAAGCGAAAAUUGCAAAAUUUAAUGAAAAUACCAAUUUGGAAAAAUGAUGAAAAUGACAAAAAUGACACCAAUAAAAAAAAUGAUAAAAAUACAAAAUUGAUACAAAGACAAAAAUGGCAAAAACAACGAAAACGACAAAAUUGAAAAAAAAUGGAAAAUGACACAAUGGCAGAAUACUUGCAAAAUUCGACUUAAAUGAUAAAAAUUACAGAAAUGACAAAAAUGGCAAAAAUAACAAAAAUAUACAAAAUGAUAAAAAUAACUUAAAUUAACAAAAAUGACAAAAAUGACGAAUAUGACAAAAAUGAAAAAAAUGUCAGAAACGACAAAAAUGACGAAAGAGAUAAGAUUUAUUAAAAAGACGAAAAUGACAAAAUGGCAAAAAGGCAAAAAUCGACUAAAGUGAUGAAAAUGACAGAAAUGGCAAAAAUGAAAAAAUAACAAAAAUGAUACAAACCGCCAAAAUGAUAGGAAUGCCAAAAAUAACACAAUUGACAUAAAUGACAGUAAUAAAUGAAAUGAAAUUAUUGGGAAAAAUGAAAA